UAUUCUUAGUAUAUUUGCUGUGCUUGUGUUGUGUUUAAUAACGUAUACUGGAAAAUAUAUAUGUUGAUAUAAAAUACUUAAUUAAUUUCACUAUUUGUUUUGAUUUGAUUAUUAUUAUCUGGUGACUUUUUUUAUCGCUUGUGAAGAUCGACUGUGAAUGUGGAACACAUUUAACGACAAUGCAGAUAAUAUUAAAAUUUCUACUCUUUGCUGCCCACAUUUUCCACAUUUGUGGAAAAGUAAUUCUUUUACGUGGAGAAUCAUAUCAUACAAAUUCAUCUGUAAGUGAGAGAAAAUAUAUAUGUCUCUCAGAAAAUGACGGCGGCGCACUUGUAUGGAAUGACGACUUAGUCCUUCGAUAUCAGCAAGAAAAUCGUACUGACUUGCAGUUCGACAGUACACAUGUAUACAAUACCUGGAUACAUUGCAAAAUAGACGCA